UUAGCAAUCUCAGAGCCAGGUGCAGGGA
rnacentral:piRNA from 1 species